rnacentral:siRNA from 1 species
UGUAACUAGAUUUUAAAUGAUGCA